AGACAGCUAGAUGGUUCCUGCUGGAACUGGAGCCCCUCUGUUGGUUACCACGAGUGCCUUGUUUUCUGCUGCCUGUUUGAUACCCAAUCCUCUCCUGGUAAAUUUUAGCAGCAACUGGUGUUGUCGGCACUUCACGCCUUGAUCUCAGGUGUCUUUGUCAGUGCACCUGAGUCAGAUAUCACUGUGGAAGCACUGAGUCACUGGAGCAAAGGAAAAUAUGAAAGUCAGAGGAAUUGCUUUCACAGCUAGAAAAUGGUCCUGCAAGAUAAAUCGGAAACCUUCUGGUGCUAGUGAAUGCACGAAGAGAUUCACAAGGGAAAAAAGAACCCUUUUUUUUUUUUUUUUCAUACUUCAGGAGAUAAUUUUUAACUGCACCAAGAAUUCUAUAAAUUCUGAAAAACUAAAGGCUGCCAUCUAUUUUCUAUGAAUGUGAAAAAUAAGCAGUAAGAAAAUCCA